rnacentral:rRNA from 1 species
UGGGGGAGUAUUGCACAAUGGGGGGAACCCGUGAUGCAGCGACGCCGCGUGGGCGAGGGAGCGCCUCGGCGCGUAAAGCCCUUUCGGCGGGGGAGAACGAUGACGGUACCCGACGAAGAAGCACCGGCUAAAUACGUGCC